ensembl:lincRNA
AUGUGGACUAAGAUUUCAGGAUCAAAAGGGCAACAGGAGGGAAAGGGGUUAACAGGACCGAACAGUGCUAGUGAAGCUGUCUCUGAGAAACAAUGUCUUCAGAGCCAGAACUCAGGCCUCCAAUUGGAACAAAACAUUCUCAGAAGUACCAACCGCCCCCGACAGCUGGUGAAGACAACUCUGUUGGCAAUGCAGUACUUCUUCCUCCCUCUGCAAUGGGAUGCCUUCACCUCCAGACAUCCACGGGAGACAGCUGGGAAUAACCUCAAAGCACUUAAGACGAUGAAUGAUGUUUUAGGAACAAAGCACCAGUCUUCCAUCAGCCCUUAUCAAAAGGGACUCCAUAUUCAAGGGACUAAUAUUUGUCUUUUCAAGGAACUUCAAUUUUAUUUUUGACUGUUGUGGGUCAGUGACAAGUCUUCCUAGAGCAAUUUCGGAUUUUUCUCUUCACCUGAAGGAUCUCCAAAAGGAUGCCUUUCAACUCCCUAUUCCAAAGCACAGACAGACUGCUUUGACAAGAAAAAAAAUAGGCUAAAACCAAUUUAGAUUCUACAAUGGUAAACCAAAGAGUCUUUAGCCUUGAUAUAAAUGUCUUCUAAAAGAACAUACUUCACCAAAUAAAACAAAGACUUGAUGUCACAGCUUGAAUUUUGGAAAUAUGUCCUUAUCCAUGUGACUACUUGGAAAGGCAGGAAGUAUAGCUGGCCUGCCCACUUGAAAAACUAAAACCCAUUUUGCCCAGGCAUGGAAUGAGAGACAGUAGUUAAGAACAUUGUUAUUAAAUACCCCAUCAAUUUUUAAUAUGGGUGCCAUUGCUAAAUUUCAAAUCUAGUAGUUCUUUUUCUGGAUAUAAACUAAUGCUAUUGUGAAAUAAUUUUUUAGCUGGACGCAGAAAGUAGGACCUAUUUUUUUCAGGCUCGAAACCCUACUGAGAUCACCACUACAGAAACAUGUGGCGCCAGAAGUACAGACAGGAAAAGAAACGUGUAAUUUUUUUCUAAGCAAUCAGCUAUGAAUAAAAUGCAAGAAUACUUUACUCACCCCACACGGAAAAUGUUUCCUAAAAACUUCCUUUGUUGAUCUUCUCAGAAUUAGACAUUUGAAGGUUUGCUCUACUUUGAAUAUGUGGCAUCAAAAUGUCAUACAAUACAAAUCAUUUUGGAAAAAUACCGUUGAUUAGAAAAUGUUAACAGUUACAAAAGGAGAGUAAAAGUGUUGAAUAUGACAUAAACUGAAACGGAAGAAAUACUUGGAUAACAAGCAAAGUUAUUACCGGAAAGAAUUGAAAUACUUUGCAAAAUACCACCAUCUCUAACACUUGAGGUACAUGUAUUGGUGGAGAAAGGGACCACGGUAUAUUAAUGUUUCAUAUACCUAUAAGAAUCUGAGAACUUAAAAUACUACCUGCUAAACUGAUACAAAUAAAUUAAGAAGUAAAGCAGCAAGGAUAGUAGGCCUAACUACCAAACAUACAAAAUACAGGGUGACAGUGAAUUCAAGAACUGCAGUCAGAAGCUAUUCUAUACCUGCUUUUUAAAAAAAACGUAAAGCUUCUUAGACUAGAUCUUUAUCAAAUCUCUAUUUCAUCAGUCCACUGGGAUCAUAUGGUUGUUAUGUAGCAAAAGAUCCCAUAGGAAUGAGAAUGAGAACAUCUCUCCAGCAGUUAUCCUUAGCCCAGGAAUGUCACAGGCAUUUUACAUAUAUGAUCUCAAAAAGUCUGCAGAGCAACUCCACUGGUGGAUAUGAAUUUUUGUCUCCAUUUUAUAGAAGAAAAAACUGAGUUUAGAAAAGUUACAUAACUCACCUGAGGCCACAAGGUCAUAUUUAAUUCCAUGACUAUCAGAUGACAAAGCCUGGAGCUUUUCACAUCUGAUAACGGCUCCAUAGGUUCCUAAGCAAAUCUCCAGGCCCCUUGGGGCAGCUCAAGGCUGCGGAAUGUACCCCCACCAGAAUCCAAGAAACUUGGGUCUGCCUUGGCUACGAGGCUGGGACUGGUAACCCUGGUUUGUCAAACCACCACCCCUCUGGCCUCAGGUCCCUCUGCCCAACGUGAAGAGGCUGGACUGAAUGAGCCCUGGUUCCUUCUGGCUAACAUUUGGAUUCCAUAGGAAAAAACUAGCUUUACCCAGUCUUCAGUGAUUUUUUUCUUUUCCUAAGCACAUACCACUACAUGUCUUUUUGGCCACAAAAGGAUUCAAGCACCAUGAGAACUACAGACAAAAGGCUUUGAUUUGGCUGGGCGCAGUGACUCAUGCUUGUAAUCCCAACACUCUGGGAGGCCAAGGUGGGUGGAUCACCUGAGCAGGAGUUUGAGACCAGCCUGGCCAAUAUGGCGAAACCCCGUCUCUACUAAAAAUACAAAAACAUUAGCAGGGCAUGGUGGCAGGCCCUGUAAUGCCAGCUACUCUGGAGGCUGAGUCAGGAGACUCGCUUGAACCUGGGAGGUGGAAGUUGCCGUGAGCCCAGAUUGCGCCACUGCACUCCAACCUGGGCGACAGAGCAAGACUCCAUCCCCUGGGAUCCACCCCUGCCCCCUCCCCACCAAAAAACAAACAAACAAACAAACAAAACAAAACAAAAAAACGCUUUGAUUUAAUAGCCUAAAGGGCAGGUCUAUUAGUGAUCUCUUCCUAGGGCUGUUUUCAGACUGAGGCAGGGCUGGCUACCUUUAAUUUAGCUUAAACGUCAUUUAUCACUUGUCUUGCAAAGCAGAGCUCUGGGUUCCUCCUGGCUGCAAGGUACAGACAUUGUGUCCUUAACCUCCCCCACACACUUUGAUGAUUGUUUCCAGGACUUUCUGCCUUGCUAGAUAGAUGUGAGCCUCUGGCAGACAUGAAAACCGUCUCAUUUGCCCCUAUAUCCCCAGCACCUACUCCUUGCUACCGUGCCUGAAGCAUCAGUGUUUAUAAAUGCUUACUGAGUCUGGACACUGUUGCUCACACCUGUAAUCCUAGCACUUUGGGAGACCGAGGUGGGCAGGUUGCGUGAGCUCAGGGGUUCGAGACCAGCCUGGGCAACAUGGUCAAACUCCAUUUCUACUAAAAAAUAAAAAAUCAGCCGGGUGUGGCAGCGUGCACCUGUAAUCCCAGCUACUUGGGAGGCUGAGGCAGGAGAACUGCUUGAACCCAGGAGGCAGAGGUUUCAGUGAGCUGAGAUCGUGCCACUGCACUCCAGCCUGGGUGACAGAGACUCCAUCUCAAAAAAAAAUAAAUAAAUAAACGCUUACUGAAUCCUGAAUUUUUUUUUUUUUUUUUUUUGAAAGGGAGGCAGGAAAGGAGAUGCAAGAAUCUAGGUGAUCCAUGUGCUUUAUAACUCACAGGAUUCCGUUAAACAAAUACCAAGCACAGCCCUAUCUCACUUUGCACAAAAGAUGAGAUGUGUUCCUGAAAGGUAAGAGAGAUUUAUACCUUGAUUCAGCUUGCUAAUAUUUUCCAAGAACCUAACCUUAACUUCAAAUAUAGCCUUUCCUUACAUUUUUCUUUAAUAAUCUGUACAGCCUCCUAACUCAUGACAUCAACAAUUAAAUACAUUGUACUUCUAGAACGCAAGAAAAUGUACAGUACUUUAAAGCAAAAAAAAAAAAAGUGUCUAUGAAACUACAAUGGUGGAUACCUGUCAUUAAACAUUUGUCAAAACCCGCAGCACAUAUAACACCAAGAGCAAACCCUAAGGUCACUUACAGGCUUGGUGAUAACGACACGUCAAUGUAGGUUCAUCAGUUGUAACAAACAAGCCACUCUGGUGUGGGACAACAGGAGGGCGGCUGUGUGUGUGUGGGGACAGGGAGUUCAUACAGAACCUCUCUGUAUUUUCCACUCAGUUUUGCUGUGAAAUUAAAAUGGUUCUAAAAAUAAAGCUGAUUUUUAAAAAAGUGAACACCCCUUCAGUUAAUCCACAUUGUUAAAGAGUCAAAUGUUUCAACUUAGACCAUGUAUUCAUCUUUGCAGUUGCAAAGCACGUGACAAAAAUCACUUAACUCCAAGUGCCUAAAAAUUGAUCAGAUGGAGUUUUCCCGUGAAAGCAACAUUUAUCCUCCAAAUUCAUCUUGUUUUCAAUUCAGACUUGGAUAUACUAGUCUAUACCUACCUGUGAGGAUGCUUUUUUUUUUUUUUUUUUUUUUAAAGAGAUUAAGUCUUGUUCUGUCGCUCGGGCUGGAGUGCAGUGGCACAGUCAUAGCUCACUGUAGCCUCGAACUCCUGGGCUCAAGCAAUCCUCCUGCCUCAGUCUUCCGGGUAGUUGGACUACAGGCACGCGCCACUGUGCCAGGUUAAGUUUAAAAAAAUUUUUUUUUGUAAAGACACUGUCUCACUUUGUUGCCCAGGCUGGUCUCAAAUUCCUGGCCUCAAAUGAUUCUCCUGCCUCAGCCUCCUAAAGUGCUGGAAUUACAGGUGUGAGUCACUCACUGGCCUUAAAUAGGAGAACAUUUUUAAGUUAAACUAAGCUCCUUGAGGACAAGGGACUUGCUUUUCAUUGCUCUUUAUUCCUCUGAUACCUGGUAUGUAGUGAGUACCCAAUUAUUGUUUGGAUGAAUCAAUCAGUAAAUGAAUAUAUUAUUUUCACAGUUUCUGAGCCAAAAGUUACAAACACUGGAUGCAAAUUCUAGGAUGAAGGACCAGAGAGAAGAGGCUGAAAAUUAGAAAACGAGUCUCAGUAGGGAAAGCAAAGACAAACACUGUGAAACAUGAGGAACAAGACUGUGACAUGAAAGGAAUUCUGUAAAAUUUAGUUGGAUACCAAAAUGGAUCUCACAAUUUGUGAAAUUAAAAUUUCUUAACAGUCAAAACAACACCCUUGAUCAUUUAUUGUAAAUCUAACUCUGAGAAGUUGGGUGCAAGGAAUGAAUGACAUGAAGAAAACAAAAAUGUACCCACCAUUUAUACUGCAGGAAGCAGAGGGGGAAAAGCUACCUUUAUUUUUGAUAGAGGAUGUUGCAUCACUUAUUAUUUGCCAGAUUCUGUACACUCCUAUUCCACUUCAUUUUCAUUUUUACAAAUGUCAAUUAUUUAAUCUAUGCAUCCCCAUUCUUCCACCAGACUGCAUCCUUCCAUCACUUACACCUAUCUUCCCACACUCCAACUCCUUUUCCCUUAUCCCAAAUAUAAUUCAAAGAAUCAAGAAACUUUUAUAAGAUUACAAGAGUUUUCUCUCUGGUUUGGGUGUAACAUUUCAGGGAGAUUCUGCUGAAUGCUGAAGAUUUCUGAAAUGUUGUGCUGUGAGGUUUCCAAAGGACAACAUCAAAAUUUGGUAUUUAUGCGUACGCCAAAUAGAUUUGAUUAAAAACAUUUUGCACAUAAUUAAGGGUUCUUGCCUUCAGUGU